rnacentral:rRNA from 1 species
UACGUAGGAUCCAAGCGUUGUCCGGAUUUACUGGGUGUAAAGGGUGCGCAGGCGGACUUGUUAGUCAGGGGUGAAAUCUCACAGCUUAACUGUGAAACUGCCUUUGAUACUGCAAGUCUUGAAUUGGGGAGAGAGUUGUGGAAUUCCGAGUGUAGCAGUGAAAUGUGUAGAUAUUCGGAAGAACACCAGUGGCUAAGGCAGCAACUUGGCCCCAGAUUGACGCUCAGGCACGAAAGCAUGGGGAUCAAACAGG